GACUCCAGGAUCACACCCUGGGCUGAAGGCAGACGCUUAUCUGCUGAGCCAUCCAGGGAUCCCCUUAUCCAGUCAAUUUAAAACAGAGCAAGGGGCAUGCUUAAUUGGAGCCCAGCUGCAAAGACAGCAAAAAUUAGGAGUGGGUGCCCUCCAACCCAGGUGCCUCCUCACCAGGGAGCCCUCCAGGUUGAAGGUCUGAGCAUUCUGGCACAGCAGCAUGACGUCCUUCUCCAGGUCAUUGAGGCUGCGGUACUUGUGGUUGCGGAUGCGUUCCUGUGGGUGAUGGGAGAGGCAGCCUUAGCUUGGGAAUUUGCCUUGUGCCCAGGGACCUUGAGGCCAGGAAUCCCUUUGCCUCAUAAGGUCAUGGGCCCAGUCUUUUGGGUGCUUCUGUAGACUUGGAAGCCUGGGCCCACUGAACACAAGAGCUGCACUGCUGAAGCUUAGGCCAUGGAUAACCCUGAAGGAGCUCUGAGGAAUCCCAAGAGCCUGUGACUAGGAUCCCGGCCAGACAGCCCAGGCUCUGCUCAGUCUGCUCUGUGGUCAUCUUUCCCAUGCACCCCGGGGGGGCCCAUAUUGGGGAGGGACUGGGUCAGAUUCCCCAAACAUCCCUGUAGAGAAUCCCCACUUCCCACAUCUUAUGCCAGGGUUACCUUUAUCUUCUUGAAGUCCACAGGCUUGCGGAUGAGCUCGUAAUACUCGGGCAGCUCCUUGCGGGAGGGCAGCUGGAUGAACACCUCGCUGAGCUGACGUCCACUACUACUGCAAGGUGGGACACAGUGGGCGUCACUCACAGGCCCUGCCUGCUGGGGGAGCCCCCACUUGGCCACCACCCAUUGCUUGAGGAAUGAGAAAUUCAAAGCACUUUGGAGUUAUUUCCUGUACAUGUACUGUCUUGUGAGUUCUGGAACAUUCUUGAGAGGAAAACAUGCAAAGAGAGGCCAGGAAUGCAUUUGAACGCAGGCUCUGCCCUCAUCCAACCUCCAAAGCCCCUGGAGGAAACAUUGCCAAAUGCUGUGCAAUAGAAGCCUUGGCACUCCAAAGAGGUAGAAUCAUGAUUACACCUAUGUACUUUGCAAAAAUCAGUUUGCUUAUGGUGGUUGGGAGCAGUAAGUGCCAGUUCUCAAAGAGAGACCAGUUUUUGCAAGUUUUGCAAGCAUGUCUCUCAUAGGCAGCACUUAGGAGCAGUGAACUUCAGAGAAUUUGGCAAAACCCGUGGAGGAGAAAUGCCCCCUGGAAAGACCCUAGCGGAAGACCUGAGCGGUUUUCUAGUUCUUGCAAUUGGGAAAGUACUGGUUUUUCACGAGGGAGCAGAGAAAAGACACUGUGAGCAACCCUGAGAUGUGGCAGGGUCUUAAGUGUUGUCUCCUGGGCCUCACAUAUGCAGGUGCCGUGCACUUGGCCACCAGGCUGUGCCACGUCCAGGUCUGGAUCUGUCUGGGGCCAGGAGCUUGAAGGGACAUCACUCCUCAGGCCUCCCUGAGGAGAGAGUGAGCAGGCACUUCAAGGACUGGCAGACAGGAGAAGACUACUCUUAUGAGUACAGUCUCUCUUUUUGGAGACUGGAGACAGGGACCUGGCCCCAGGGGUCCAGGCUGCCGGUGAGUUGGUCAAGGCCCUGCUCCAAGGCUUGACUACAAGUGGCUUGCCCUCCCUUAUCUGUGACCAGCUGGAUACAACAUGGGGCACGAUGUGGCUGAAAACACAAGCUGGAAGGAAGGGGGAGGCUGACACCCCCACUUCACACUGGGAAAAAAGGCUGGAAGGCAGAGGCCCGAGGUGGGCUGUGUCUGGGCAGGAACAUGUGUAUCAAGUAUCCAGCACACAGAAGGACUGAAUGGUGGUAUCUGUCUAAAGCAAGCAAGGUGCAGGACCAGAUUCCAGCUCCUGUCUGUCAGGCUUGCAUCUCAGGAGACCCCAGCUGUGGGAAGGGGCCCAGGGGUCUCACAAUGCACAGGAAGCCCAAACAGGCAAAAAGCUUCUGGGAUCCCAGCCGGGAGCAGCCUCGGGGAGGCAGUCCUAGCAAAGCUGCUCCUUAAUGCAAUCGUGACAUUGGGAGCAUCCAGCAUCCAGCCAAAACCCAAAAUGCCCUCCCUGGAGUAGCAGGCUUCCCUCCUCUCUGGGAAUAGGCUGGUGGGCGGUUUGGCCAAAGACAACUAGAGCUUGUUUACAUGAACUCUGAAAACGAGAAUUGGUAGCAGAAGGCACUGGACAUUCUACCUGGGACAGGCAGACCUGAGCCGCAAGCCACCACUCACCAACCUCCAUGUCCUACUGCCCCCCAACCUUCUCGGAGCUCCCCCUUCUCAUCUUGACAGCACUAUCAUGAUACUUUUGACCAUGAUGCACAGUGGAGGUCACAUCUUUCACUCUGAUCCAGGACAUAUACCUACAACCGUAAAGUACUAGAAGUUUCCCUGCACAGGGGUCUCCCUUGCUAAGUAAGAUGAACCGUUUUCUCCACUAUUUCACUUUUUAGAAAUGCCAGCUGAGCCACUAAAUUCAUUUUGCUGCUCACUAAUGGGUGUGGAGUGUGCUCUGCACAGUGCUAAGACUGGGCUCUCCAGGUCACACAUUCUUGUGCUCCUCUGUGGCAUCCAUGAAGGGCCCGGCCCUCGAGGGAGCUCACAAAGUGGAACACUAGUACUGGAAUAAAGUGGAAAGUUUUGUAAUAAAACUCACUCACCUCCAUCAGUCUAAAACUGUGGCAGACAUGAAAGAAUGGAAAGCAACGGGGUCCCUCUUACAAAACUUUGGAAUAGUGGCAUCAUUGAGGAAUACAGACCUAUGUGGUCACUCUAUGCCUGACUUCACUGGUGCAAUGAGCUCUGAGCAUGGAUGGCCUGGAACCGGGUGCACGUGAUGGAGGGACAGGGCACCAAGACGAUGGCGGACUUUUAGAGCCACCUUUUCUCAGACAGCAAAUCCACUGCCAUAAAGUUUUAGUUGCCAACAUGCCGAGAUGUCACUUUUAAUCCUUGGAAGUCCUCUGGAAACCCCACCCCACCCCACCACCAGGCGCUGCUGCAGCAGGCUUGGGGCCUAGAGCCUUCCAGGCUUGCUCACCAGCCCUCCUCACCUCUGUGGACUUAGAGGUGGACAAGUCACAGCUGCCUACCUCACAGGGAAUAAAACAGAGUCUCUCUGGUGGCAGCUUGGCCCUCCAGGACGGGCUUCCCUGGUGUCUGACAUCAGCAUCCCUCUCUCCUACUUCCUCAGAAUCAUCAAAGCCACUGCUCCUCGGGAAGCCCAGCUGCAGCCCUCACAUCGCCUCAGAGCAAAUGUCAGCUCCCCCUAAGUUCCCUGUAACCCUCACUCCCCGCCCCUCACAGAGAGUAAUCAUAAGAAUGUGAUGAAAGAUAAAGGCAUGGAUUUUCAGUGCUCAGCUCCUUGAGGUAGGCCAGGCCUCUUCUUGAACUUGAUGUUAUGGGGUCAUGCACGGUCAGCUCCCAGGUUUGACCUCCUCCUUCAUCCCUGUAGGCACAUGCAGCACCAGCUCACUCAACUCAAGAGCUGCCUUAUGCCCUGUGGUGGGCACAUGCCACACGGUUCGCUUGUCCAUUUUCUGCUGACUGGUACCCAGGUGUGCUGGUCUUGAGUAUCAUGAAGCAAGUGGCCGCAGAUGCUCACGUCCAACUGUUGGCUUGCACUUCUUUUGGGAACACGCCUGGAGGUGAAAAUGCUGGAAAGCAUGGCAGGGGCGCUCAGCUUCAGUAGCCGCUGAGCCCCUGCUUACCCUUCUGCCAUUGGAUGGGCUCUUCUCAUCCUAUCAGCUUCACUUGCUGUCACUCCUUGUCGGUGUAGCUGUUCUACAAUCUGGGUACAAACUGGUAUCUCCUUGUGAUUUUAAUUCACAAUUCCUUGAUAAGCAGUGAAACGUGACACCCUUUCAUAGAUGGAAUGGCCACCUGAUGACCUCUUUUAGGCAGUAUCCAUUCACAUCUUUAUCCUCCCUCAGACAGUCCUUCGUUGGAUGUGUUUAUUAUAAAUGCCUUUUCCAGUCUAUGGCAUGUCUUCUUACUUUCUUGAUGGUGUCUUUGGGUGAUAAGAUCUUAGUUGUAAUCAAAUUCCAAUUUACCGAUAUUGCCUUUUAUACUUGCUGUUUCUCCUGUCUUGUCACAGAGGCAUUUUCUUUUAGAAAGGUUGACAAUUCAACUUCUUUAUAUUAUUAGAUAUGAAGCCAGUCACCUAGACUGGUGUCUGUCCAUGGCAGCUGCCAUUUCUCCUACCAGAGCCCAUGUGGCUGUGUCUUUACUGAACCAGAACACAAGCCCCAAGGACAGAGACCUUGCCUGUUUUAUUUUCUGCUCUCUCUCUGGCACCUGGUACACCAUAGGUGCUCAAUAAACAUUUGCUGAUUGAAGGAAGAAAUAGCUCAGGGUGAAAGUUUCAGGGUCGAGGAACAGGGUUCAAACUUGGGUGUCACAAAGGUCAUCUCUGAAUAAGGGUGCCUCACUGCCCUCAACACUGCAUGGUUGUUUAUACACGACCCUGUUCCAGAAAAGACUGGCAGCAACUACCAGGAAACCCCCUGCCCUAAGAGAGCACUGCUGUGUGCCCAUAUCUGCCUCCUGUCUUAUGAGACUUGCUCUGAAGAAGCUUCUGCAGGCAGAGUGGUCUGGAACUGUCUCUGUCCUGGCUUUGUGUCUGGCUGCCCUGGCAGAAGUGGGGAUGGAAGUAAAGGAGUUUGAGAAAAUCCUGAGGCUGUGAGGAACAGACCUGUGACCUCCAUUCAGACUGAAGCCUGGGCUGUCACCCGGUUUGGCAAUAAGGGCAACAGCAGCCACUGCCACGCAUGUGUGUGACAAAGAGAAUGAUGAGGAUGCAACUCUCCUGCCUCCAGACGCCAGCUCCCAGAGCAGGAAUUUCUUUCUACCUUGUUCACUGCCCUGUCUCCAUUACAGUAAGACAGGAGACAGUUGGGACCCAGAGUGGUCAAGCCCUUUGCCUGAAGGCCCAAUUCCUCCCAAGUCUAGCCCGGUUUUGUGGGCCAUCCCAUCUCUGUCACAACUACUCAACUCUGCCACGGUUGCACAGAAGUAGCCACAGACAAGACACAGAAAAGAGGACACACUUGCUGAAAUGCACAAGCACUUUAGAAGGAUCUCACGCAGGACUGUGAGGAAGGUGGAGGGUGCAACUUGUUCACCCAAAAUUUAUUUCUGGGAUCCGGUGUCUGUACCCGUCCUGUUUUGAGCUUAUAUGUAAUUCUAGUUUUAAGACCGUUCCUAGACAGCCGUCCUGUUUUCUUUGGUGUGAUCCAACUGCACUGUGGCAAUACAUCAUCAGCAGGGAAUGAAGUCUAAGGGUGGAACCGGCAGGAUGACAAACAAGGCAGAUGCAACUUCAUCUAGCAAAGUUGGUGGUGGCCUCAGAACUGCACAACUCGACAAGGCUGCUGGGGCUAAUCCUUCUGUGGCUUAGAGCCCCAUUGGGCCCUCAGCCUGGCCUGCAUCUACAUCAGGUUGGCCUGGGCCUUAAUGAUAGGUAUCAGCACUUUUCUUAAGACCUAUCACCUUGCUGUUUCUCAGGACAGGCUCUCGGCUGAGUGCCAAGCAGAAAAUGCUGACUCUAGACCCAGACCCAGAGGGCUAGCUUCUCCUCUUGAAGUGGGUCCAGUCUGAGGUUGGGCUCUAGAGGAAGGGCUGUACAGCUUUCCAAUGGCUGAGGCUGGAGAAUCCUGAGGCCUCUCUGAUCCCCUCUGAAAGGGCUCCCAGGCUGCUCACCCUUUACUCUUUUCCCUCAAGGGGACUGGAGCCACUGGCAGUUAAUUACCUUUCCUGGGGAAUGCUUUAGCCAGACAAACUUUCCUGGGGCUUGCUACAUUGCCUGUUUUUGUCACAAAUCAACGUACAAACCUUUCAACUCCCAAGAGUCAUCAGCUCUCUGAUUCUCAAUAGGGAAACACAGGGCCCCUGUAAAGGUAAGGGGAAAGUGCUAACAAGUUUUAGGUAGUGGCUGCCAGGCCCAGGCUGAGGCUGCCAUCACAGAUGUGGCCAGGGCCCUUCAUCAUCUACAACGCUAAGUUUAGGGCUGGUUUCUAGGCGGCAUGCCUGGCCCAUGAUCUCUCAUUUGGGGGUCUCUAUAAUUCCAUUUGGGGGAUUCUACUUCUAUGCUGAGGACCCAGAAACCGAGGCAGGGAGAUGGAUGGUAAACCCAGAUCUCUGUGAUACUCAAGCCUUCAGCUCUUUUAAAGCUGCUGCCUCGGGCAGCCUGGGUGGUUCAGUGGUUUAGCACCGUCUUCAGUCCAGGGCAUGAUCCUAGGGACCUGGGAUCGAGUCCCACGUCAGGUUCCCUGCGUGGAGCCUGCUUCUCCCUCUGCCUGUGUCU